rnacentral:rRNA from 1 species
GUGCUGAUAAAAGGUGAAAUUAAUUUUUUAGCAUGCGGAGCUGUAAAUAAAAAGUUUGAAUUGAAGCUAUUAAGGUAAAGAGAUGAACCAGGAUUAGAUACCCUGUUACACUUUAUUUAAAUGAUAAUUACCUGGGUACUAAGCAGUUAUUACCUUGAAACUCAAAGGAUUUGGCGGUAACUUAGUCUAUUUAGAGGAACCUGUCCUAUAAUCGAUAGUCCACGAAAUAUCUUACUCUAUUUUGUAGAAACCAGUUUGUAUACCGUCAUUAUUAGAUAACUUUUAAAAAACAUGGAGUUAUUGCAAUAGUUUAGCUAAUAAAUUAGAUCAAGGUGCAGCUUAUAGUAGAGAAGAGAUGGGUUACAAUAAAAUACGUGUAUACGGAGCAAUGAAUGAAUACUUUGUUGUGAAGGUGGAUUUAAGAGUAAGAGAAUUUUAAUAAGAUUUUCUGACUUUAGCUCUAGGUUAUGUACACAUCGCCCGUCGCUCUCGUUAAUUAAAGC